rnacentral:rRNA from 1 species
GCUGAUGCGUUGUUGGGUAGGGGAGCGUUCUGUAAGCCUGCGAAGGUGACCUGUGAGGGUUGCUGGAGGUAUCAGAAGUGCGAAUGCUGACAUAAGUAACGAUAAAGCGGGUGAAAAGCCCGCUCGCCGGAAGACCAAGGGUUCCUGUCCAACGUUAAUCGGGGCAGGGUGAGUCGACCCCUAAGGCGAGGCCGAAAGGCGUAGUCGAUGGGAAACGGGUUAAUAUUCCCGUACUUGGUGUUACUGCGAAGGGGGGACGGAGAAGGCUAUGUUGGCCGGGCGACGGUUGUCCCGGUUUAAGCGUGUAGGUGUGUGUUCCAGGUAAAUCCGGUUCACUUUAACACUGAGGCGUGAUGACGAGGCACUACGGUGCUGAAGCAACAAAUGCCCUGCUUCCAGGAAAAGCCUCUAAGCAUCAGGUAACAUCAAAUCGUACCCCAAACCGACACAGGUGGUCAGGUAGAGAAUACCAAGGCGCUUGAGAGAACUCGGGUGAAGGAACUAGGCAAAAUGGUGCCGUAACUUCGGGAGAAGGCACGCUGACACGUAGGUGAAGUGAUUUACUCAUGGAGCUGAAGUCAGUCGAAGAUACCAGCUGGCUGCAACUGUUUAUUAAAAACACAGCACUGUGCAAACACGAAAGUGGACGUAUACGGUGUGACGCCUGCCCGGUGCCGGAAGGUUAAUUGAUGGGGUCAGCGCAAGCGAAGCUCCUGAUCGAAGCCCCGGUAAACGGCGGCCGUAACUAUAACGGUCCUAAGGUAGCGAAAUUCCUUGUCGGGUAAGUUCCGACCUGCACGAAUGGCGUAAUGAUGGCCAGGCUGUCUCCACCCGAGACUCAGUGAAAUUGAACUCGCUGUGAAGAUGCAGUGUACCCGCGGCAAGACGGAAAGACCCCGUGAACCUUUACUAUAGCUUGACACUGAACAUUGAGCCUUGAUGUGUAGGAUAGGUGGGAGGCUUUGAAGUGUGGACGCCAGUCUGCAUGGAGCCGACCUUGAAAUACCACCCUUUAAUGUUUGAUGUUCUAACGUGGACCCGUAAUCCGGGUUGCGGACAGUGUCUGGUGGGUAGUUUGACUGGGGCGGUCUCCUCCUAAAGAGUAACGGAGGAGCACGAAGGUUGGCUAAUCCUGGUCGGACAUCAGGAGGUUAGUGCAAUGGCAUAAGCCAGCUUGACUGCGAGCGUGACGGCGCGAGCAGGUGCGAAAG